CACCGUCGUCUGUGAAAAAGCUUCCAACAUCUUCACCGUAUGAACUCUCACAUCUGCCUCUGUCUGCGAUGAACCUUCUGAAAAGCCCAACUGGGUUGUUUGACUGCCUCUGGAGACCCCAAGUUCGCACAUUGUCUGCGUGGAAGCUUCGAACACCUCCGAUUCCAGCGCACCAUCACCUGCAAUUGUCUGUGUGAAAGCCUCCAGCAUCUCCACCACGUUUGUCUGAGCUGAGUUGUCCCUGCCAAGUUCAACAUAUAUCUGUGUCUGCGUCGAAGCCUCCAACACUUCUAGCUCUUCAUUUUCCAUCAAGCGCAAUACCCUCGGUGAGGUCUCUGUCUGAGGACAACCAUUCGGACACACGAGAGAGUCUGAGUCCUUUGUUUCCUCGCCCGUUCGGUGCAGAAACGUCUUUGGGAUUUUAUACGUAACUUCCUUCUCCCCACCAGCCCCAAAGGAUAUUGGUUCGCCAAAUUGGAAAAGAGUUGGCGUGACUGGAGAUGACAGCAGGGCAAAAGGGUUUCUCUCCACGCCACUCUGAUCUAUCAAAGGCUCCCACUCCUCUUCUUUUCCGUCCCCCAGAAACCUUAGCUCUGUAUUCAGUGCUGAUGGCAUGCGCCUGCCUUGCUCCUUCUUCUCGCGUUUUCUCAAGGCUGUAAAUUCUCUUUGCAAAUCCUUGAAGUUUUGAUUGGCAACAGCAAGCUCUGCAUUUUUCUCCAGAAGUUCGGCCGCUAAACGAACAUUUUCCGUCUGCGUAGGGCCGUUGUGCAACUGGCACAGCAACAUAUCAAGUUCUGACUCAUAUUUGCUAAUAGUCACGAGAAACCCGUUUUUCUCUCCUGUUAGCUGUACAAUAUCAUUUUGCAUUUUGGCCAUAUCUUCUGUCAUCUUGGAAACUGAUUCUUUGAGCGCCUUCCUGUCUCUUUCUGCGCUCUUGAGUGACGUUGCGCUGGAUUUGAGCUCUUCUUCAAGUCGAGAUCUGUCCUGCUCCGCAAUUUUGAUGAAUGACUCUUGACUUUGCAUCUGUCGCCGGAAUUCGUCCACCAUCGUCUUCAACUUGUCGAUUUGUCCCUGUUGCUCAUUUUUGUCAUCUUCCUGGGUCAGAAUGCUGGAGUCAAAUUCCUCAACUGUUUCUUGUAGCGUCUCGUUUUCCUUGAGGCAAUUGUUCACCAAUUGGGUCUUUCGGGCAAUGAUUUGGUUUUGCUUGAUCAUGAUGAGCUUAAUACGUUCCAGCUUGGU
rnacentral:sRNA from 1 species